AAGCCUGAUGGAGCGACACAGCGUGCAGGAUGAAGGCCUUCGGGUUGUAAACUGCUGUUAUAAGGGAAGAAAAAGUCGAGGAGGAAAUGCCUUGACCUUGACGGUACCUUAUCAGAAAGCAACGGCUAACUAUGUGCCAGCAGCCGCGGUAAUACAUAGGUUGCAAGCGUUAUCCGGAAUUAUUGGGCGUAAAGCGUCUGUAGGUUGUUUGUUAAGUCUGGUGUGAAAACUUGGGGCUCAACCCCAAAUUGCAUUGGAUACUGGCAAACUAGAAUUGUGUAGAGGUUAGCGGAAUUCCUUGUGAAGCGGUGGAAUGCGUAGAUAUAAGGAAGAACAUCAACAUGGCGAAGGCAGCUAACUGGACAUAUAUUGACACUGAGAGACGAAAGCGUGGGGAGCAAACAGGAUUAGAUACCCUGGUAGUCCACGCCGUAAACGAUGAUGAUUAGCUGAUGGGAAACUCAUCGGCGCAGCUAACGCAUUAAAUCAUCCGCCUGAGUAGUAUGCUCGCAAGAGUGAAACUUAAAGGAAUUGACGGGGAUCCGCACAAGCGGUGGAGCAUGUGGUUUAAUUUGAAGAUACGCGUAGAACCUUACCCACUCUUGACAUCUUCUGCAAA
rnacentral:rRNA from 1 species